rnacentral:rRNA from 1 species
UACGUAGGAAGCAAGCGUUGUCCGGAAUUACUGGGUGUAAAGGGAGCGUAGGCGGGAUGGCAAGUUGGGUGUUAAAUCUACCGGCUCAACUGGUAGUCGCACUCAAAACUGCUAUUCUUGAGUGAAGUAGAGGCAGGCGGAAUUCCUAGUGUAGCGGUGAAAUGCGUAGAUAUUAGGAGGAACACCAGUGGCGAAGGCGGCCUGCUGGGCUUUUACUGACGCUGAGGCUCGAAAGUGUGGGGAGCAAACAGG